rnacentral:lncRNA from 1 species
GAGCUCGGCUCGGUUGAAGAACGGAGGAGGUUCAAGCGACUGCGAUCAAAGACAACACAAGGGCAUGGCAGUGCUCAAUCGAUGGUGAGGCGCCGGCCAACGGCGAGAAUGGCUCAUUCCUUUUACAGAUUGUUGAUGCGAGGGCAUAGAAAAACUCGAAUCGCUCUGACGGCUGAGGAGACAUAUUGAGAGCUUGAUCCAGCAGGUCAGCUAGUGCCCCUCAACCAGCACGUCAAACAGCAUCUGGCACUGUCGAGAUUAGAAGAGUGCACUUCAAAAAUUUUCAUCAAUUAGAACUGAUGACUCGACGAAACCGGCAGUCCAGUAGAGCUAUCUUGUUAGGUGUGAGGACCUAUCAUACUAAUAUAUGAUGGUGUAAUAGUAGACUUGGCUGUUGGAAUUGGGACGUAGUUCAUUUUGUAAAAAUUGACAAAAGUCCACUGCACGGUAUAGCAUGUUAGAGGAGUUUAGUACUAAAUUGUCUAUCCUAGGAGGAUACCUCGAUAUAAGGGAGGAU